rnacentral:snoRNA from 1 species
ACCCAUCAGCCUCCUCACCCAUCAGAUCUCAAUAUUGGCCGGAGUGGUUUUAAAAGGAGGAAAAGUAAAAUUGAAAUUGACUUCAAUUCUUCUGUGACACAUGAGCUAUUGUCAGCCAAAC